AGAAAGAGAGGCAGGGCGGCAGGGCGGCAGGGCGGCAGGGCGCGGUGGUUUUCGCCUGUAAUCCCAGCUCUUUGGGAAGCCGAGGCAGGCGGAUCACGAGGUCAGGAGAUCGAGACUAUCCUGGCUAACACGGUGAAACCCCGUCUCUACUAAAAAUACAAAAAAUUAGCCGCGCGUGGUGGCGGGCGCCUGUAGUCCCAACUACUCGGGAGGCUGAGGCAGUCUUGAACCCCGGAGGCGGAGGUUGCAGUGAGCCGAGAUCGCGCCACUGCACUCCAGCCUGGGCGACAGAGGGAGACUCUGUCUCAAAAAAAAAAAAAAAGAAGAAGAAGAAGAAGAAGAAAGAAGAAAGAAGAAGAAAGAGAGGCAGGGCGCUGCGCACCUCGCCGGGCGUGCGGGGACGUUGUAGUCUCUUAACGGCUCCCGGCUCUCUGGUCGCCUGGCUGCAGGACUACAAUUCCAGCAGGCACCGGGCUCAGUGGGAGGGGCAGGGUGGUGUGGACCUGGCAAAGCAGUGCUGCCCGCUCACCCCCUGCUGCCCUGUCUCCAUGGGGAGUGAG
rnacentral:lncRNA from 10 species